GAUGAAGAACGUAGCGAAAUGCGAUAAGUAAUGUGAAUUGCAGAAUUCAGUGAAUCAUCGAAUCUUUGAACGCACCUUGCGCCCUUUGGCUAUUCUGAAGGGCAUGCCUGUUUGAGUAUCGUGAACACCUCAACUCUCAUGGUCUGCCAUGAUGAGCUUGGACUUUGGGGGUCUUGCUGGCCUACUGUCAGCUCCUCUCAAAUGAAUCAGCUUACCAGUGUUUGGUGGCACCACAGGUGUGAUAACUAUCUACGCUUGUGGUUUUCUGCCAGGUAACCUCCAGUGAUGGGGGUUCGCUGGAGCUCACAAAUGUCUCUCCUCAGCGAGGACAGCUUUUUGAACGUUUGAUCUCAAAUCAGGUAGGACUACCCGCUGAACUUAAGCAUAUCAAUAAGCGGAGGA
rnacentral:misc_RNA from 1 species